rnacentral:tRNA from 1 species
GGAGAGGUGACCGAGUGGCCGAAGGUAUCCGCUUGCUAAGCGGACGUAGGUCAAAAGCCUACCGUGGGUUCGAAUCCCACCCUCUCCGC